rnacentral:rRNA from 1 species
GUAGCUGGACUGAGAGGUCGAACAGCCACAUUGGGACUGAGACACGGCCCAAACUCCUACGGGAGGCAGCAGUAGGGAAUUUUCGGCAAUGGAGGAAACUCUGACCGAGCAACGCCGCGUGAACGAUGAAGUAUUUCGGUAUGUAAAGUUCUUUUAUUGAAGAAGAAAAAAUAGUGGAAAAACUAUCUUGACGUUAUUCAAUGAAUAAGCCCCGGCUAACUAUGUGCCAGCAGCCGCGGUAAGACAUAGGGGGCGAGCGUUAUCCGGAAUUAUUGGGCGUAAAGGGUGCGUAGGCGGUUAGGAAAGUCUAUAAUUUAAUUUCAGUGCUUAACGCUGUCUUGUUAUAGAAACUACCUUGACUAGAGUUAGAUAGAGGCAAGCGGAAUUCCAUGUGUAGCGGUAAAAUGUGUAAAUAUAUGGAGGAACACCAGAAGCGUAGGCGGCUUGCUGGGUCUUGACUGACGCUGAGGCACGAAAGCGUGGGUAGCAAACAGGAUUAGAUACCCUGGUAGUCCACGCCGUAAACGAUGAGUACUAAGUGUCGGGAUAAAACUCGGUACUGAAGUUAACACAUUAAGUACUCCGCCUGAGUAGUACGUACGCAAGUAUGAAACUUAAAGGAAUUGACGGGACUCCGCACAAGCGGUGGAUCAUGUUGUUUAAUUCGAAGAUACACGAAAAAUCUUACCAGGUCUUGACAUGCUCUGCAAAGCUAUAGAAAUAUAGUGGAGGUUAUCAGGGACACAGGUGGUGCAUGGUUGUCGUCAGUUCGUGUCGUGAGAUGUUAGGUUAAGUCCUAAAACGAGCGCAACCCUUGUCGUUAGUUACCAGCACGUAAUGGUGGGCACUUUAACGAGACUGCCAAUUAAACAUUGGAGGAAGGUGAGGAUUACGUCAAAUCAUCAUGCCCCUUAUGAUCUGGGCUACAAACGUG